rnacentral:rRNA from 1 species
AGUGAACGCUGGCGGUAGGCCUAACACAUGCCAGUCGAACGGCAGCACAGUAAGAGCUUGCUCUUACGGGUGGCGAGUGGCGGACGGGUGAGGAAUACAUCGGAAUCUACUUUUUCGUGGGGGAUAACGUAGGGAAACUUACGCUAAUACCGCAUACGACCUACGGGUGAAAGCAGGGGAUCUUCGGACCUUGCGCGAUUGAAUGAGCCGAUGUCGGAUUAGCUAGUUGGCGGGGUAAAGGCCCACCAAGGCGACGAUCCGUAGCUGGUCUGAGAGGAUGAUCAGCCACACUGGAACUGAGACACGGUCCAGACUCCUACGGGAGGCAGCAGUGGGGAAUAUUGGACAAUGGGCGCAAGCCUGAUCCAGCCAUACCGCGUGGGUGAAGAAGGCCUUCGGGUUGUAAAGCCCUUUUGUUGGGAAAGAAAAGCAGCAGGUUAAUACCCCGCUGUUCUGACGGUACCCAAAGAAUAAGCACCGGUUAACUUCGU